ACAGCUGGUAGAGUAGUUGUUGGAAGAGAAAUAUCAAGCAAUGGUAGACAAUUUGAUAUUCAGAUUUAGACAAUGAUUCAGUUAUCAGUUUAUUAGGGAUUAGUUCGAGCUAUGAUACGUAGAUAGAGGUAGUGUCGUUGUAUUUUGUGAAAAUUCACUUUAAAUUUGUGGUUAACUGGAUAUGUGCGAGUGAGAAGCAGUGAUAUUUGGAGGGUCAAUUACAAUAUUUAGUUGAGUAUGUGAAAUUUGAAUAUUCAUGUUUAGAUUGUUUAUUAAAUAUUUUCCUAUGGUCAGUGUAGUAGUGCUAUAACCUUAACAUUGAAGAAUUUGAAUGGGAAUAGAAGAUGUUAUUUCCGAACGUGUUAUUAAACUCUACCAAAAACUUAAAAGUAAGCACAAGUUUUGUCAAACUGUUCCUUCGAUCAAUUUCGACCACUCAUUCAAAAAUGUCUGAAGUUGAUAAGAGGUUCACUCUACCCCAACGAUAUGCUGGAACAAAAGAAAGUGUAUGGACGGAAUACAUACAAAUGGCAAUAGACUAUAAACCGUUGAAUCUUGGACAAGGAUUUCCUU